GUUUUUUGGCAGCACAUACACUAAAAUUGGAAUGAUACAGAGAAGAUUAGCAUGGCCCUUGCAUAUGGGUGACAUGUAAAUUUGUGAAGUGCUCCAUAUUUAA